GAUGAACGCUGGCGGCGUGCCUAAUACAUGCAAGUCGAGCGAACAGACGAGGAGCUUGCUCCUCUGACGUUAGCGGCGGACGGGUGAGUAACACGUGGAUAACCUACCUAUAAGACUGGGAUAACUUCGGGAAACCGGAGCUAAUACCGGAUAAUAUAUUGAACCGCAUGGUUCAAUAGUGAAAGACGGUUUUGCUGUUACUUAUAGAUGGAUCCGCGCUGCAUUAGCUAGUUGGUAAGGUAACGGCCUACCAAGGCGACGAUGCGUAGCCGACCUGAGAGGGGUGACCGCCCACACUGGAACUGAGACACGGUCCGGACUCCUCCGGGAGGCAGCGGUGGGGAAUCUCCGGCAAUGGGCGAAGGCCUGCCGGGCAAAGGCCGCGGAGGUGAUGAGGUUUUUCGGAUCUUAAAACUCUGUGAUUAGGGAAAAACAAAGGUGUAAGUAAAUAUGCACGUCUUGACGGUACCUAAUCAGAAAGACACGGCUAACUACGUG
rnacentral:rRNA from 1 species